rnacentral:rRNA from 1 species
CUACGGGAGGCUCCAGUGGGGAAUAUUGCACAAUGGGGGGAACCCUGAUGCAGCAACGCCGCGUGGAGGAUGACGCAUUUCGGUGUGUAAACCCCUUUUAUAUGUCAAGAAAAUGACGGUAGCAUAUGAAUAAGCACCGGCUAACUCCGUGCCAGCAGCCGCGGUAAUACGGAGGGUGCAAGCGUUACUCGGAAUCACUGGGCGUAAAGGACGCGUAGGCGGGUUGGAAAGUCAGGUGUGAAAUCCUACAGCUUAACUGUAGAACUGCACUUGAAACUUCUAAUCUAGAGUAUGGGAGGGGGAGAUGGAAUUAGUGGUGUAGGGGUAAAAUCCGUAGAUAUCACUAGGAAUACCUAAAGCGAAGGCGAUCUCCUGGAACAUUACUGACGCUAAGGCGUGAAAGCGUGGGGAGCAAACAGGAUUAGAUACCCCAGUAGUC